rnacentral:rRNA from 1 species
AUUGAACGCUGGCGGCAGGCCUAACACAUGCAAGUCGAGCGAAGCGGCGGAUGGGUGAGUAACGCGGGGGUAACCUGCCCUUAAGUCUGGGAUACCAUUUGGAAACAGAUGCUAAUACCGUGUCCUAAAGGAUGGACCUGCGAUUCAUUAGCUAGUUGGUAAGGUAACGGCUUACCAAGGCGAUGAUGCAUAGCCGAGUUGAGAGACUGAUCGGCCACAUUGGGACUGAGACACGGCCCAAACUCCUACGGGAGGCAGCAGUAGGGAAUCUUCCACAAUGGACGAAAGUCUGAUGGAGCAACGCCGCGUGAGUGAAGAAGGUUUUCGGAUCGUAAAGCUCUGUUGUUGGUGAAGCGGUAAUCAACCAGAAAGUCACGGCUAACUACGUGCCAGCAGCCGCGGUAAUUC